rnacentral:rRNA from 1 species
GAUGAACGCUGGCGGCGUGCCUAAUACAUGCAAGUCGAGCGAACAGAUGAGGAGCUUGCUCCUCUGAUGUUAGCGGCGGACGGGUGAGUAACACGUGGAUAACCUACCUAUAAGACUGGGAUAACUUCGGGAAACCGGAGCUAAUACCGGAUAACAUGUUGAACCGCAUGGUUCAACAGUGAAAGACGGUUUUGCUGUCACUUAUAGAUGGAUCCGCGCCGCAUUAGCUAGUUGGUAAGGUAACGGCUUACCAAGGCAACGAUGCGUAGCCGACCUGAGAGGGUGAUCGGCCACACUGGAACUGAGACACGGUCCAGACUCCUACGGGAGGCAGCAGUAGGGAAUCUUCCGCAAUGGGCGAAAGCCUGACGGAGCAACGCCGCGUGAGUGAAGAAGGUCUUCGGAUCGUAAAACUCUGUUAUUAGGGAAGAACAAAUGUGUAAGUAACUAUGCACGUCUUGACGGUACCUAAUCAGAAAGCCACGGCUAACUACGUG